rnacentral:rRNA from 1 species
UACGUAGGGGGCAAGCGUUGUCCGGAUUUAUUGGGCGUAAAGAGCGUGUAGGCGGCCAUGCAGGUCCGUUGUGAAAACUCGAGGCUCAACCUCGAGACGUCGAUGGAAACCGCAUGGCUAGAGUCCGGAAGAGGAGAGUGGAAUUCCUGGUGUAGCGGUGAAAUGCGCAGAUAUCAGGAAGAACACCCGUGGCGGAGGCGGCUCUCUGGGACGGUACUGACGCUGAGACGCGAAAGCGUGGGGAGCGAACAGG